CUAUUGUCCGGGGCCCUUCUGGGUGUACACCAGGAGUUCCCAAUUUUGCUCAGUCCACAACACCUGAAUUCUAAAUGCAUCAAUUUGGCCAAAGAGGGAAGAGGGGUCUCCAUUAACUCAAACUGGUCCUCAGGCCUGGACACAACCACAAGGGCGGCAGCGUGAUGUUUUGUGCUGUGCUACACUGGGUUUCCAGCCCCCAGUACAGUGCCUGGCACAUAAUAGUUGCUCACAGACAUGCAUUGAAUGGACAGAUGGUUGGGUGGAGGUGAUGCUGCUGACAAGGGACCACAAACGUCUCCCACAAGGAGGAGGAAGAGAAAGAAGAACAGUGCAGUUAGAAGUCACUUUAGAGUUCUUUUAGACCAGAUUCUUAUGUUUAGAUAAGAAAAUGAGAGCCAAAGUGGCACAAUGGAGUGGAAAAGAGCACUGAACCAGAGUUUGAGAGACGUGAACACCCUGGUUCUCACACAAAAAAGAACUGUUAGUAGGGGGUGCUGUCAGGGUAGCUGUCUUUGGCACUCCCUCCCCACCGCCAGAACUGGGAUAACCUCUUCCUUAAAUGUAUUUGUUAGAUACUUGAAUUUAUUAAGGAUCCAUUCCUUCUCAGUUACGUGCUCCAUUUUUCAUUGAGGCUGCAGUGGCUCUCAUUGCAAAUGCAGCCACCUGGUGACAGCGAAUUCGUAUUUGAGAAAGCUGAUCAGAAGAGGGUUGAGUUCUGAUCUGGAGAGCCUGCCAGGCCCAGAAAAAUCUAAGGCUGUUAGAACAAAAUAAAGAGAUUCUGCCUCAGGAAGGGUUGGGGCGGAGGAAGGGGUGUCAUUCAAACCUCAGACUAACACUCAUCUGAGCUGAGAGAGCAAACGUGAGGGACUAGCUCCCUCCCGAGUGCAGGUCUGAGGAAGAGAGGAAUGCAGAGGGUUCCGCUGGCAGAGAUAAGAGAGUCAACAACCAGCCCGCAGGGGCCAGGUGGCAGCUGGGAGAAAAGUUCGGACUUGCUUUUGGGAAGAUUUAUACCUAGAACACCCCUGGAAAGAAUCUGGCAUCCUCCGGACUCAGAAUGAGGAAAGGUGGCAGAGCUAGCCAGAAUGAAACACAAGAUUGACAUUUUUUAUUCUGACCUGUGGUUGGAGCAGAGCUGAUUGAAGCAAGAAGUUUGUGAGAACAAGUGUCCUAGCUGAGCAAGAAUGAGGCCCAGAGGCAUGGUGACCAAACGAAGCCCUGAGUCAUAAGAUGCCCUUCCUCUGUGCCUGCGUGGAAGCGCUCCUGGACUGAAGAUGGGUGGCUAUUGUGAACGGCAUCUUUUUCCCAUUGUAUUUUUCAUUACUUAUAUGCAAUAAAGCUCUAGAUUUUUA
ensembl:lncRNA